CUUUCCUAAGACCUGCUGAUAAAGUUCACCUAUGUGUAUUCCACCUCUUCACUCCAGGUGUUGAUAAUGACGCUGGAAUCGAAAAUAUGAGAAAAAUCCGAUAAACUUUACCUUGUUGAGUAUGAGGAAAGGAAAACUUUUGAAAUCACCGUAGAGAACAUCACUAGCAGAGAGAACAGGAACUAAAUUUAGGAUACUGAGCUGGUAGGUCGAUUGUGGCAGUGUGGUGGUGGAUUUUGGGUUUGGUACCAGCUAGAUUCGACUACCCUAUUCCAUUUAAGCAACCCCAGCACAAACUAAAUGCCAUAUGUGCUACGGAGCAUUCAGAUUGUCUAUGUGCUGUACCAAUAGAUGCUGGGGCGCAGACUUGAGCUGAGGUCGAGUAAUAUAUAGCAGGACUGACUCACCUGGAGAUCCCGCCCGCCCCGUCUAGGACAGGUGUCCACAGGGGUACAGGUAUGACCCGCUUUUGGAUAUAAAAACUGGAAUUUGCCCGAAAAUCCGGGGCUUUGAUAUCCGGCGGUCAGAAGAUCUACGGAGCUCGGAGUGGACUCGGUACUCCUAUCCGGGAUCUGGUUGUUAUUAUUACUCCCGGUAGGGUUUAAGUGUUACUACACCACCUCGAGCUCGGGGAUGAACCUCGGAGAAACCUCUAGCAGCUCCAAGCACGAGGGAAAACACGCGGCAAUUUAACAGGAGCGCAAGGACGACUUUGUCUGACCACUCGAGCUCUAGAGCCGGCGAUAAGCAAUCCGCGGGAAAUAACCAGGAGACCAGAGUUUAGGAGUUCGCUGUGUUAUUUCCGAGAAAAGCCAAAGUUUUGCGCAGACUCUGCUGCUUUGAUGGUAUUGGAGUACGUCGAUGUCUAGAAUAUUUCAAUUUAUCUUUCGUAAAGGAGAAGAAAAAGAAGACGGCACUGAUACUGAAAUUACAAAUAAAUUUUAUAAAAAGCCCUGCAACUUACUGAAUUAUCAAGAAACGUUGAAAUUGAUGCGUAAUCCUUUUAAUAAACGUAAUGAAUCAUCUGAAGCAGAAAUGAGAGUGAAUAAAUUCAAGAGGAAAUGAUAAUUUUAUGUCGGAUGGAUGGAAACGUAGUGAAAUGAUAAAAACAAAGCACUUCCAUGUACAACUUACACGAGAAUGCUGAUUAGAUACUUAUCCAGAUUUCAUUUAUCAAGCUCAAUU